GAACAAGUUGGUUCAUGAAUUAACGGUCUCAUAACACAUUUCCAACGAAAACAAAAACACAUUUCUGUCAGACUAUGUUUUUUAAAAUAUUGUCUUUGGUUCCAAAAGUUGACGAAUUCAUGAGUGGCGAAGGAAAAGAAGGAGGGAAAAUGGUAGGAAGAGAGGUUCAGAAUAAAGUGCUGAAACCCUAGAUGUGCAUGAGGCAGUGAAAUGUCCCCCUUAUACAAUGACAUCAUCGUGCUGUUUACUUCAUGAAGUGCAGGACAUGUCAGCCUUCAGGAGAGCACAGUGCUGGUUUGACUCUGACAGCAGAUGGUCUGAAGAGUCUUGGAUGGAAACACCUUAAGGACUGAAUUAUUCUGAGAUAGCCAGGGAUUUGUCUUCCAGAGAAAUGGACGCUCAGCUCUGGGACUCCAAUGGAUGACGGAGUAACAAACAGGAACAAAGAAUCUCACUGCCAUGUCAAUG